rnacentral:lncRNA from 1 species
GCGGAGUCAAGCCGCGCGGGCGGCCGUUGGCCGGGCUGCACGUUCCCGCGCCUGCCGAGGGGAGGCUGGCGCGCGCUGCCCCUUACCGGCCAUCACGUGCUUUAAUCCCAGGUCCCAGAAACAAAGACAAGGUUUUCAUCUCAAGGCCAAAAGACAAAAAACAUCAAGACACUUGAUCACGGCCUUGGAUAGACCAAGAGACUACCUACACUUGACCAGAGCUACAGACCACGGAGAGAGUCACUGCUGCACAGGCUCUGCAGCCCAUUCUCAAUUCUACUCAGUGCACUUAAAAAUAUAUAUUGUAGUGUUUCCUUUUCUGUAAACAGUGACAAACGAUCAUGCAUUAUAUUAGAACCACCACCCUUGUGACCAAGGAGGAGUGGACAGGAUCCAGAAGGGUCACCGGUGAUCAAUAGGGCUUGAACACAAAAUAUUUGAAGGGCUUAACUCUAGCACUUACAGCUCUUGGUGGCCUGCGGAACAAGAGGCCAGGAGGACUAACAUCCAAUUCUCCUGCAUGCCAAUGAGGAUCAUAACUACAAAGUCACCACUCUUUUAUUGAUAGCUUUGAACACUGCAUAAGGCAGAAUUUCUCUCACUUGACUGGAGGACUUUCCAAGCACAGCCUGCCACCUGCACCCCUCUAGUUGUUGCAAUGCAUUCAAUAAAGG